rnacentral:rRNA from 1 species
GGAUAACCUACCCUUAGGACCGGGAUAACCUUGGGAAACUGAGGAUAAUACCGGAUAGGCAAUUAUUCCUGGAAUGGUUUUUUGUUUAAAUGUUUUUUCGCCUAAGGAUGGGUCUGCGGCCGAUUAGGUAGUUGGUUAGGUAACGGCUUACCAAGCCAUUGAUCGGUACGGGUUGUGAGAGCAAGAGCCCGGAGAUGGAACCUGAGACAAGGUUCCAGGCCCUACGGGGUGCAGCAGGCGCGAAACCUCCGCAAUGUGAGAAAUCGCGACGGGGGGAUCCCAAGUGCCAUUCUUAACGGGAUGGCUUUUCAUUAGUGUAAAGAGCUUUUGGAAUAAGGGCUGGGCAAGACCGGUGCCAGCCGCCGCGGUAACACCGGCAGCUCUAGUGGUAGCAGUUUUUAUUGGGCCUAAAGCGUCCGUAGCCGGUUUAAUAAGUCUCUGGUGAAAUCCUGUAGCUUAACUGUGGGAAUUGCUGGAGAUACUAUUAGACUUGAGACCGGGAGAGGUUAGAGGUACUCCCAGGGUAGAGGUGAAAUUCUGUAAUCCUGGGAGGACCGCCUGUUGCGAAGGCGUCUAACCGGAACGGUUCUGACGGUGAGGGACGAAAGUUAGGGGCGCGAACCGGAUUAGAUACCCGGGUAGUCCUAACCGUAAACGAUGCGGACUUGGUGUUGGGGUGGCUUUGAGCUGCU